rnacentral:lncRNA from 1 species
CCUAAAAAGCAGUGGGUGAGAAGGUUAGCAGUUAGGAAGGUGGGGAAAGGGGACCGUGUACAGUUCUGGGAUGAUGUUUGGUGUGGAGAAGUGCCUUUGAGCGUGAUUUUCCCUAAGUUACAUAACAUAAGCAGAAAUCAGGGGGUGUCUGUGGUGUAUAGGACUAUAUCCUUAAUGCAGCGGUUGCGAAUCAUGCUAAAGGGGGACAUGCUUGUUAUGGCAAAUAAGUGGAUGGAGGAAGUCAUGAUCAAGCUACUCCAACUCAAGCUGAUCAACCUUCCUGAAGCUUUCUGA